UACGUAGGGGGCAAGCGUUGUCCGGAUUUAUUGGGCGUAAAGAGCGUGUAGGCGGCUUUACAGGUCCGUUGUGAAAACUCGAGGCUCAACCUCGAGACGCCGGUGGAAACCGUAAGGCUAGAGUCCGGAAGAGGAGAGUGGAAUUCCUGGUGUAGCGGUGAAAUGCGCAGAUAUCAGGAGGAACACCGGUGGCGAAGGCGGGUCUCUGGGCCGAAAUUGACGCUGAGGAGCGAAAGCGUGGGGAGCGAACAGG
rnacentral:rRNA from 1 species